rnacentral:lncRNA from 11 species
GCACCCUUUGUUUCGCUUUGACAUAUGAGCAGCAUUUUGAGUUAUGAGCUAGUGCCAGAGAGAGGGCUAGCACGAGAGUACAGAGCUAAGGGAGCAACCUCUGUGCCUUGUGCUCUUAUCUGCUUUGGGAGAUUGCUGUUUGCUCCUGUCUGCUUUGAGAAGGUUGGACUGACUGCACAAAGGAUGACUGGAUGCUGAAUUGGUCUAACCUUCUUUUGUGUGGCCAUAUGGACAUAAGCCAUUCAUAAUUACCUGGCACCCUUCUUGGAGUUUGGAAGGUCCUUCCAUUGUUUUUCCUGAAUGUCAUUUCCCCUUUCCCAGGAAUGGAUUCCCUAAUCCCAUCACUCUGAACAACAUAUUUGUAAGGUCAACAAUGGACACAGACACCAUGGGCACCAGACCCACCUGAUGGGUCAUUCACUGGACAAUCACCAAAACAGUAAUCCUCACGGACCUAAUGGCCC